AGCUCCAAUAGCGUAUAUUAAAGUUGUUGCAGUUAAAAAGCUCGUAGUUGGAUUUCUGGACUGAGCGACCGGUCCGCCGCUGUGCGGUGUGUACUUGUGUUUGACUCGGUUCAUCCUUGAGGGGAAGCGCAUUACGGCAUUAGGUUGUCGUGGCGGGGAACCUCAUCUUUUACUGUGAAAAAAUUAGAGUGUUUAAAGCAGGCAUUUUGCUGUGAAUACAUUAGCAUGGAAUAAUAACAUAGGACCCUGGUUCUAUUUUGUUGGUUGGAGACCAAGGUAAUGAUUAAUAGGGAUAGUUGGGGGUAUUCAUAUUUAAUUGUCAGAGGUGAAAUUCUUGGAUUUAUGAAAGAUGAACUCAUGCGAAAGCAUUUACCAAGGAUGUUUUCA
rnacentral:rRNA from 1 species